rnacentral:rRNA from 1 species
UAGGGUGCGAGCGUUGUCCGGAUUUAUUGGGCGUAAAGGGCUCGUAGGUGGUUGAUCGCGUCGGAAGUGUAAUCUUGGGGCUUAACCCUGAGCGUGCUUUCGAUACGGGUUGACUUGAGGAAGGUAGGGGAGAAUGGAAUUCCUGGUGGAGCGGUGGAAUGCGCAGAUAUCAGGAGGAACACCAGUGGCGAAGGCGGUUCUCUGGGCCUUUCCUGACGCUGAGGAGCGAAAGCGUGGGGAGCGAACAGGCUUAGAUACCCUGGUAGUCCACGCUGUAAACGGUGGGUACUAGGUGUGGGGUCCAUUCCACGGGUUCCGUGCCGUAGCUAACGCUUUAAAUACCCCGCCUGGGGAGUACGGCCGCAAGGCUAAAACUCAAAGGAAUUGACGGGGCCCCGCACAAGCGGCGGAGCAUGCGGAUUAAUUCGAUGCAACGCGUAGAACCUUACCUGGGUUUGACAUGGAUCGGGAGUGCUCAGAGAUGGGUGUGCCUCUUUUGGGGUCGGUUCACAGGUGGUGCAUGGCUGUCGUCAGCUCGUGUCGUGAGAUGUUGGGUUAAGUCCCGCAACGAGCGCAACCCUUGUUCACUGUUGCCAGCACGUUAUGGUGGGGACUCAGUGGAGACCGCCGGGGUCAACUCGGAGGAAGGUGGGGAUGACGUCAAGUCAUCAUGCCCCUUAUGUCCAGGGCUUCACGCAUGCUACAAUGGCUGGUACAGAGAGUGGCGAGCCUGUGAGGGUGAGCGAAUCUCGGAAAGCCGGUCUCAGUUCGGAUUGGGGUCUGCAACUCGACCUCAUGAAGUCGGAGUCGCUAGUAAUCGCAGAUCAGCAACGCUGCGGUGAAUACGUUCCCGGGGCUU